rnacentral:misc_RNA from 1 species
GGACAGCAAGGUUCUGCAUCAGCCAUGGCUGUUGAUGAGGAGCCCCAGCCACCUCAGCCUUUUGAGUAUACUUCGUGAUUCUGGUCAUAAAGAUUUUUGUAUUGGUCUUCGUUUAGAAAUCUGGUGCUUAUAACUGGCAGAGAAAAUCAAAUGCUUCUCAGCGACCGCUUCAAUCUUGCAUGGUCACUGCCAGCAUAAGCAAGUUUACUGGUUUCAAGGUUUUCUUAUCUGCAGAGCUUAUGUUCUCGAGCAAAUUUUUUU